AGAGUUUGAUCCUGGCUCAGAACGAACGCCGGCGGCAGGCUUAACACAUGCAAGUCGAACGCAUCGCAAGAUGAGUGGCAGACGGGUGAGUAACACGUGGGAACAUACCCUUUGGUGCGGAACAACAGCUGGAAACGGCUGCUAAUACCGCAUGCGCCCUACGGGGGAAAGAUUUAUCGCCGAAGGAUUGGCCCGCGUCUGAUUAGCUAGUUGGUGAGGUAAUGGCUCACCAAGGCGACGAUCAGUAGCUGGUCUGAGAGGAUGAUCAGCCACACUGGGACUGAGACACGGCCCAGACUCCUACGGGAGGCAGCGGUGGGGAAUAUUGGACAAUGGGCGCAAGCCUGAUCCAGCCAUGCCGCGUGAGUGAUGAAGGCCCUAGGGUUGUAAAGCUCUUUCAGCGAGGAGGAUAAUGACGUACUCGCAGAAGAAAUUGCAAUUUC
rnacentral:rRNA from 1 species